UACAGAGGGUGCGAGCGUUGUUCGGAAUUAUUGGGCGUAAAGGGCGCGUAGGCGGCCUGCUAAGUCGAACGUGAAAUCCCCGAGCUCAACUCGGGAACUGCGUCCGAUACUGGCAGGCUUGAAUCCGGGAGAGGGAUGCGGAAUUCCAGGUGUAGCGGUGAAAUGCGUAGAUAUCUGGAGGAACACCGGUGGCGAAGGCGGCAUCCUGGACCGGCAUUGACGCUGAGGCGCGAAAGCUAGGGGAGCAAACGGG
rnacentral:rRNA from 1 species